AUUGACCGCUGGCGGCAGGCCUAACCCAUGCAAGUCGAGCGAGCGGCGGACGGGUGAGUAAUGUCUGGGAAACUGCCUGAUGGAGGGGGAUAACUACUGGAAACGGUAGCUAAUACCGCAUACCAUCAGAUGUGCCCAGAUGGGAUUCGCUAGUAGGUGGGGUAACGGCUCACCUAGGCGACGAACCCUAGCUGGUCUGAGAGGAUGACCAGCCACACGGGAACUGCGAAACGGGCAAGACGCGUACGUGAGGCAGCAGUGGGGAAUAUUGCACAAUGGGCGCAAGGCUGAUGCAGCCAUGCCGCGUGUGUGAAGAAGGCCUUCGGGUUGGAAAGCACUUUCAGCGGGGAGGCGUUACCCGCAGAAGAAGCACCGGCUAACUCCGUGCCAGCAGCCGCGGUAAUAC
rnacentral:rRNA from 1 species